rnacentral:rRNA from 1 species
GAUGAACGCUGGCGGCGUGCUUAACACAUGCAAGUCGAACGAUGAAGCCCAGCUUGCUGGGUGGAUUAGUGGCGAACGGGUGAGUAACACGUGAGUAACCUGCCCUUAACUCUGGGAUAAGCCUGGGAAACUGGGUCUAAUACCGGAUAGGAGCGUCCACCGCAUGGUGGGUGUUGGAAAGAUUUAUCGGUUUUGGAUGGACUCGCGGCCUAUCAGCUUGUUGGUGAGGUAAUGGCUCACCAAGGCGACGACGGGUAGCCGGCCUGAGAGGGUGACCGGCCACACUGGGACUGAGACACGGCCCAGACUCCUACGGGAGGCAGCAGUGGGGAAUAUUGCACAAUGGGCGAAAGCCUGAUGCAGCGACGCCGCGUGAGGGAUGACGGCCUUCGGGUUGUAAACCUCUUUCAGUAGGGAAGAAGCGAAAGUGACGGUACCUGCAGAAGAAACACCGGCGAACUACGU